CUUCUUCUUCUUCUUCUACCUUUUGUUAGGGUUUCUACCUGAAAUUUGGUAUCAGAGCUUGCGUGUGGUUGGGCUUGAUCUGGAAUUGGAUUGUUGAGAGUCGCAAGGCAUGACUAGGUCUGCUGUGCUGGGUCCAGAGGCUGUAAGGCUGGCAGAUCUGGAGGGACAACUUAGGGUUCUUCAUGGGGAUUCUCAAGAUACCAGAAGGGAUGUGGAGAAACUCAUAGUGGAUAUGGAACAGAUAAGGGAGGAAAUUAACAAGAAUGUUGAGGAAUCUAAUAGAAAUGCUGUGGAAUGUAAACAAGCAAUUGAGGGAUUGGCGACUACAGUGGAAGGAUUGGCUGCUGCUGUGGGAAAAUUGCUGGAAGCAAGGGUAAAGCAGUGGAUCUUGUAGAAAAAGAUUCUGAUUUGAGAAGUGGGAAAGGAUUGUUACCUAUUCCAAAAGAGUUGGUUAAUGGCAGAAUGGGGGUUCAAGUAGUUCCAGUUCUGCAGUUGAUUCAAAAAAAUUCCAGAAAAUGCUUCCUAAAAUUGAGUUGGUGGCCUUUGAAAGGGGAGAUCCGAGAGCUUGGAUUAGGAAAUGUUGUAAAUAUUUUGAGGUUUAUGAAGUUCCAAAGGAAAAGAGGGUUGCAAUAGCAAGUUUAUAUUUUAUUAAAAAGGCUGAUGCUUGGUAUCAUAACUAAAUUAGGGGAAGACUCAGUCCGUCCUGGGAAGAGUUUGAGACAGAUCUAUGCAAAAGGUUUGGGAAACAAGGAUUGGAGGAUAUUGUUUAAGAGUUUAUGAAAAUUAGGCAAGAAGGGUCUGUUAAUGAUUAUCAAGACAAAUUUGAAGAUUUAAGGGUAUGUAUGGAGAGGUUUUGCCUGCAUUGGAUGAGAACUAUUUCUUGUUAGGGUUUAUAGGGGGUCUUAGGGAUGAAAUUAGGCCAAUAAUGAGGAUUUUUAGGCCUACUAAUCUUGCUUAUGCCUUCAAAAUAGCAAAGUUGCAAGAACAAUUAUUGCAAUAAGUGGUAGGUUAUCUCCUAAACCUAUUUUCAGUCCUUAUAAACCAAUUUCUUCCAAUACCAGUCUGCAUUCACUCAAAAUAACCCAUCUCUAACUUAUAAAACUUCUCAAUUGCAUUAGAAUUUUCCCUAUCAACCAAACCUCCAAAUGAUAGUUCACAACCUAAAACCAUCUCUGCAAAUUCUGCAAAACCUACUUCAGUUGCAAGUACCAAUUCUGUCAACCAAAGCACAACCAGGAACAGUCAACCAAACCUUGGCUUUAAUUCUAAACUAGCUAGAACCUAUUAUAGAUGUGAAGAUAAAUUUUUUCCAAGCCACCA
rnacentral:misc_RNA from 1 species